UACAGACUAUAGGGCCCCCCACACGCUUAGUCCGGCCCUGUAGGUGUCUCUAUAUAUUUCUAUGGUUGUGACCUAGCUGAAGGUGGGGCUGUGGCAUUACUGUUAGUGCUAUAUAGUCGAUGGGCAUCGUCAUUGGUUUGAUAUUGAUGCGUCAUAUAAAACAAAAAAAGGAUUUUGCGAAAAUAUUUUUAGUGCCUACCAAUACAAAUGAAAGGAAGGUGAUUCUAACUAUAUAUUAUAUAUAGCUUCUAUAUAUAUAUAUAUAUAUCCAUAUGUAUGCGCAUGUGUGUGUGCGUGUGUGUGCGUGCUCGCCGGCGUAUGCGUGUGUGCGUGCGUGUAUGUGCGUGCUUGCGUAUGUAUUGGUACCUGAAUAUGCGUCAUGUAGGAGUGAAUAAAAAUCAUUUGUUUUUUUAAUCAA